rnacentral:lncRNA from 1 species
CCCAGGAGAGUUUUACAGCAUUCCAGGCAGGACGGAGGCCAGGGUGGGGGAAAUGCAGGAAUAAGAACUGGGAAUGGAAGAGCCCUACCAGGAAGCUGUUCUUGAAGAGAAACAAUGGGGAGAAGUCCCGAGUCCUGGCAACCCUGCCACACAGACCCCAACUGAGACAGAAGGCCACCUUAGCAUCAGCAGUCUUUGAAUGAAAAUGUCAGGACAAUAAGAGCACUGCACUGAAGAGCCUAGAAUUCUUCUCUUUUUUUCCAUUUCUUCUUGACACCGUCCUCCUCCACCAAAAGACAUCAAAAUUUCCAAAUACCUCCACUGGACACUGCGAUUAACAUAUGGCCCUGGCAGACAUAGAUCCUCUCUUGAAUUUUCACUGACAAAACUGCUUCCAGCUGCCUCUUGGAAGAGACACCCCACAAUAAAACACAGUGUUCGCUGAGAAUUCCAGCUGCCACCCAGGGGCCUGAUGGACUCAAUGAAUGGCAUUUAGCAAAGCUACUGCUGAAACGGUGACAAAUGGUAUGUUGACUUUUUUCCUGUGUCUGUGGUAUUAGGACCAGUUGAUCUCAGCA